UGCCCAGCAACUCCGAUCCCUACCUCCUCGCGGUACCGGCCGGAAACUGUGAGCAACCUUGGGUAACCAACCCCGGUGGGAACUUUGGUCGUGGGCUGACAGGGAAGA
rnacentral:ribozyme from 1 species